CCUACGGGAGGCAGCAGUGAGGAAUAUUGGUCAAUGGGCGAGAGCCUGAACCAGCCAAGUCGCGUGAGGGAGUACUGCCCUAUGGGUUGUAAACCUCUUUUGUCGGGGAGCAAAAGCCGGACGUGUCCGGCUGUGAGAGUACCCGAAGAAAUAGCAUCGGCUAACUCCGUGCCCGCAGCCGCGGUAAUACGGAGGAUGCGAGCGUUAUCCGGAUUUCUUGGGUUUAAAGGGUGCGCAGGCGGAUUUUUAAGUCAGCGGUCAAAUCGUGGGGCUCAACCCCAUCCAGCCGUUGAAACUGGGGAUCUAGAGUGUGCGAGAGGUAUGCGGAAUGCGUGGUGUAGCGGUGAAAUGCAUAGAUAUCACGCAGAACCCCGAUUGCGAAGGCAGCAUACCGGUGCACAACUGACGCUCAGGCACGAAAGCGUGGGUAUCGAACAGGAUUAGAUACCCCAGUAGUC
rnacentral:rRNA from 1 species